rnacentral:rRNA from 1 species
UACGGAGGGUGCGAGCGUUGUCCCGGAAUCAUUGGGCGUAAAGGGCGCGUAGGUGGCCCAGUAAGCGUGCGGUGAAAGCUCGGGGCUCAACCCCCGAGUCGGCCGUGCGAACUACUGGGCUGGAGCACUGUAGAGGCAGGCGGAAUUCCGGGUGUAGCGGUGGAAUGCGUAGAGAUCCGGAAGAACACCGGUGGCGAAGGCGG